rnacentral:rRNA from 1 species
UCGAGCGCGAAUAGGGGCAACCCUUAGUAGAGCGGCGCACGGGUGCGUAACACGUGGGUAAUCUGCCUGGAAGCCUGGGAUAACUAGCCGAAAGGUUAGCUAAUACCAGAUGAGACCACGGACUCUUCGGAGUCUGAGGGAAAAGGUGGCCUCUGUAUACAAGCUAUCACUUCCAGAUGAGCCCGCGGCCCAUCAGCUAGUUGGCGGGGUAAUGGCCCACCAAGGCAACGACGGGUAGCUGGUCUGAGAGGACGAUCAGCCACACUGGAACUGAGACACGGUCCAGACUCCUACGGGAGGCAGCAGUGGGGAAUUUUGCGCAAUGGGCGAAAGCCUGACGCAGCAACGCCGCGUGUGUGAUGAAGGUCUUCGGAUUGUAAAGCACUUUCGACCGGGACGAAACCCUUCAGCCCAAUACGCUGAAGCUUGACGGUACCGGGAGAAGAAGCACCGGCUAACUCUGUGCCAGCAGCCGCGGUAAUACAGAGGGUGCAAGCGUUG